CCUACGGGCGGCAGCAGUAGGGAAUCUUCCACAAUGGGCGAAAGCCUGAUGGAGCAACGCCGCGUGGGUGAAGAAGGUCUUCGGAUCGUAAAACCCUGUUGUUAGAGAAGAAAGUGCGUGAGAGUAACUGUUCACGUUUCGACGGUAUCUAACCAGAAAGCCACGGCUAACUACGUGCCAGCAGCCGCGGUAAUACGUAGGUGGCAAGCGUUAUCCGGAGUUAUUGGGCGUAAAGGGAACGCAGGCGGUUCUUUAAGUCUGAUGUGAAAGCCUUCGGCUUAACCGGAGUAGUGCAUUGGAAACUGGGAGACGUGAGUGCAGGAGAGGAGAGUGGAACUCCAUGUGUAGCGGUGAAAUGCGUAGAUAUAUGGAAGAACACCAGUGGCGAAAGCGGCUCUCUGGUCUGUAACUGACGCUGAGGUUCGAAAGCGUGGGUAGCAAACAGGAUUAGAUACCCUAGUAGUC
rnacentral:rRNA from 1 species